rnacentral:lncRNA from 1 species
CACGUUCGUUUUCUACAGGCCACGCUGCCUUGGCACACGUGUGAGUGCACACAAACCCCAGCUUGGCUCGGACGCAGCGUUUCCACCCGGGAUGCGUUUCUCCCCGCCAGGAAAAGGGAGCAGAGGGAACCGAUAAAGUAUGCAGGGAAGUUUAAGACAGUGGCAGAAAUGCCAGCUAAGGAAUCCCCCGAGGAGAAGAAGCCACACGGAACUGGACAUCAAAGGGAAAAACCCCAGGGAAGAUGAAAAGGGAGAUCAUUGUGAGAAAACUAAGAUGGUAGAACCAGGAUUCAAACCUGACGUCUGACUCCAGAGCCCGCCUUCUUAAUCGUCCACCGUUCUUCCUCUUGCUGCUAUCACCUCAGUGGUAUGUAGGCGAAAUAUACUCCAGGACUUUAUCUUCUUGGGUCAUCAAAAGGACAAAAACACAAAAUACAAAAAUACAAAAUACAAAACACAAAAAUACAAAAUACAAAAAUGUGUGUAUGUCUGGA